AGUAACAUGAAUGAUUAAAACAAUCACAUUUGGCCUCUUCUUGUUGUCCUCUUCAUGUCCUUUUAAUCUGUCUCCUGUUCACAUCCAUCCCUCUACUCUCUUCCUCUAAUCCCUUGCUCACCUUCACUCUCCCUCCCGUUUUCCUUUUCAAAUGGUCUCUCCUCUUCUUUCAUCCUCUCUCUCUGGUCUCCUGACCCGCCGCAACGAGAGCCGGGGAGCAGAGAAGAGAGAAAAUAAGAGGUGCGGAUCAGUUUCCGAAGUUUCUGAAGCUCUUCUCUCCAAAGAGCUCGACGAUAAGAGAAGUAUUACAGAGGAGGAUGAUGGUGGACAGAACGGAUCAGAGAUCAGAGAGCGAAGGUGACCGGAUCCGGACCAGCUUCCUCCCAUCUGACCAGCCCUCCAGAGCCGGCUGUGUCCUUCAGGAAAGGCACGGCGCCUUGAAGAGAUGGAAAGGAGAAAGAAGAGUGUUUCAGUGGGAAGAGGUGAAGUGAGCUACCUCUGAAGAGAUGAGUGUUUCACCUACAACAGAGGACGUGGAGUGACUGCUUUUCUGAGUCAAGUGAAAAUGUCAUCCGAACACAGAGGAGCGAGAACAUAAAGAAGCAGAAGACAUCAAAGCCUCCUAUGUGCUUCUCUCCACUGAAGUGUUGACCAUCGCUCAGAAAUAUCCACAACUAGCAGGACAAAGCCAGAAGAGAAGAGUGGAGCCUACCUCAAUGGAGCAAGCAUUACAACAAUCUGUUUACAGGGUCCUGCUCUCCUGGUGGCUUUAAUCGUUUCUGUCAUCAUAUUAAUAAACCUAUUGGAUCCCAAAUAAGCCUUUAUGUUCCCUUCCUUCAUUUCCAAACAAAAGAUACAUUUCUUGUCAUUAUUACUGAGGUUUUAAAAAUUACCUCCAUACUGUUCACAGACAUACUGUAUUAAAAUCACUGACCAGUGCAGGUUUUGUAAAAAUGAUGAUGACUGUAAAACCAAAAGAUGAGGUGAUAAAGAACGUCUGUUUAAUAUCAUUUAUACUAUUAACAGAUUUGUGGACAGUGAUCAUCGAUGGACCCUGAUUCUAGCAGUUUGUAUAUGAUGUCUGCUUUCACAUUUGACUGAGUUAUGACUCUGAUUGUUUAUAUUGUCUUAUUA